GUCUGGAUAGCUUAGUUAGAGUGUUAGAGUGUGGUGCUGAUAACACCAAGGUUGCAGGUUCGAUCCCCAUAUGGGACA